rnacentral:rRNA from 1 species
CAGCCGCCACGGUAAUACGGAGGGUGCAAGCGUUAAUCGGAAUUACUGGGCGUAAAGCGCACGCAGGCGGUCUGACAAGUCAGAUGUGAAAUCCCCGGGCUUAACCUGGGAACUGCAUUUGAAACUGUCAGGCUGGAGUCUUGUAGAGGGGGGUGGAAUUCCAGGUGUAGCGGUGAAAUGCGUAGAGAUCUGGAGGAAUACCGGUGGCGAAGGCGGCCCCCUGGACAAAGACUGACGCUCAGGUGCGAAAGCGUGGGGAGCAAACAGGAUUAGAUACCCGCGUAGUCCCUGUCUCUUAUAA